rnacentral:lncRNA from 1 species
CUCAAAUGCCCAUUAUCAUGGGAAUGUGCAUUGCUGCUGUCAUUUAUUUCCAUUGUUUCCACUCUGGACAUUGUGGACAACCAUCGCCUUCUCAGCUAUUAUUCUACACAAAUUUUAUAGUAUAGCACCAGCAUGUGAGAAUCAAAAUUUCCAUUGAAAAAAGUUCAUGUGUUAAACAUGAUUGUACGAUUAAGUGACAAAGCGAGAAAAAUUAAUUUUUAACAAAAGCUAAAAAUUAGAAAUUGACCCAAAAAUAUUUCCAUGAAUACCAUGAAUAUGAGCUUACAAUAGGAAAUUUCCUGAAUGUUGAACACAUUUUAAAUUAUAUCUUAUACUUUCGAUUUUAUUAAUUUGUUUUACAAGUUACUGAUUUUGUUUUAGUUGUAUCCAACGAGUCAAGGCAUACGCCCAAUCUAUCCUGCAGUGGCAGUAAAAGAUAAAUCCCUUACGAAAUCUUCAUUUUUUUUUUGUAAAACACCAUAGUUCUGUCUUGUGAAUUUUGGGAUUCAGAAUGAACCCACAUUAUCCAACUCAACAAUUUUUAUUAGCAUCUAAAGCCCACCUCAACUCCAUAUCAACAUGAAAACACAAACUAAACCCAUUGAAAAUAAUUGAAACAAAACCAAACACUAUAAACCAAAUUGAUAAAAAUAAGAGAAAUAAUACAACUUAAAAAAAUUGUAAAGUGCAAAAUUUAGUCCCUAAAAUUAUCUCAAGCAUCUUACUAUCUUGGUAACCAAACAAACACACAAUUCACUUUAAAACUCUGGAACAAGUUUCCCAAGGAAAUAGAAAAGUUGUAACUUCAAGUCCCCGAUGACUCAAUUAGGCAAACUAUUGAGGCCAAUUUCAUAAACCCAGAAGGUAAUAGCUGUCAAGCCAUAACCUCGCCUCAUAGUCCUAACAAGCAUUGAUUUUUUUUUUCCAAUCAAGCCAAUACAAAGCAACUAAAUUAUCGAAUCAACCAGUGAAGUCACAAUAAGCAGCUCAAAAUUCACUCUUGCAAACUGCUUCCACUCACUUACACAAGACCAAUCAUUAAAAUCAAAAUAUUCGCAUACCCAAUUGAUUGAUAACUUGGUAAUGACAAAAACGAGAGAAACCCAUUAUAAUUCACAUGAUUAGCAUUGAAAUUAAAGAUCAAUAUAAGGAAAACUUCCUAAAAACAACAACAACCCAUAUAGAAUUUCUCAACAGAGAGAGACGAGAAAGAAAGCGCACCUUCGUUUUGGACGGCUCCAAAUGGGUUUACGCCGAAAGAGCACUCACUUAUGCAGUUCUAGUCUAGCUAUCUCUGGUGUGGUAGGAAGAUUCGAGAAUUUGGCCAGAAAGGAAGAACAAAAAUUAAAGGGAGACAAAGUAAAAGAUUUGUGCAGGUUUUUGAAUCCAAUGUGCUGAGAAGGUGUCAAAAUCUAUGUGAGCAAACCAGC